AACGUAGGAGACAAGCGUUAUCCGAAUUCACUGGGCGUAAAGCGCAUGCAGGCGGCCGGAUAAGUUGGCUGUGAAAUCUCCUGGCUCAACUGGGAGAGGCCGGUCAAUACUGUCUGGCUCGAGGGCGACAGAGGGAGGUGGAAUUCCGGGUGUAGUGGUGAAAUGCGUAGAUAUCCGGAGGAACACCAGAGGCGAAGGCGACCUCCUGGGUCGUACCUGACGCUCAGAUGCGAAAGCUAGGGGAGCGAAC
rnacentral:rRNA from 1 species